rnacentral:sRNA from 1 species
GAUGCCCCGUGCUUGCACGGAGGCGGCUAUCCCCAUCCGGCGCACCCACUACAUGAGCAAGUAGGGCGAUUAGCCCGGAUUGCGAAUGCUGUGGGCGAUUGCGGGAGCGCGUUAGUGCAGAGCAAUCG